CGCGUAGGCGGGGAUACAAGUCAGGCGUGAAAUCUAUGGGCUUAACCCAUAAACUGCACUUGAAACUGUAUCUCUUGAGUGUCGGAGAGGUAGACGGAAUUCCUAGUGUAGCGGUGAAAUGCGUAGAUAUUAGGAGGAACACCAGUGGCGAAGGCGGUCUACUGGACGAUAACUGACGCUGAGGCGCGAAAGCGUGGGGAGCAAACA
rnacentral:rRNA from 1 species